UCAUGCUACACCUUUGGGUUAGCAGGGUUCUCGAAUUGUUGGAGGAUAAAUGAGUUGUUUGUCUUCGCUGCCAGUUCUUCUGCCUUUUGGACAGCUCCUUUCAUUCCCAAGAGUGGGUCAGUAAGUAUCAAUUCAGCACCAAAAGCCUUCAAUAUGAUUCUCCUCUCCAUGCUCAUGGAGGCCGGCAUCGUGAGUACAAGCCUGUAACCCUUUGCAGCAGCCAUGAAGGCCAGUCCAAUGCCUGUGUUGCCACUAGUUGGCUCAAUCAGCACACUCUGGCAAUCAUUGACAGACAAAGCAAAACAUCAGUAAAGCCAGAUCUUGCUAGAGCUUCACCUAUCCUUGACGCUGGAGCAUGGCUCCAUGGACUCGAGCUUGGCCGCGACGCGCCCGACGCACCCAUCCGUCACCCGGUUGAGGU
rnacentral:sRNA from 1 species